rnacentral:rRNA from 1 species
AGCAGCAGUGGGGAAUAUUGCACAAUGGGCGCAAGCCUGAUGCAGCGACGCCGCGUGAGGGAUGACGGCCUUCGGGUUGUAAACCUCUUUCACCCAUGACGAAGCGCAAGUGACGGUAGUGGGAGAAGAAGCACCGGCCAACUACGUGCCAGCAGCCGCGGUAAUACGUAGGGUGCGAGCGUUGUCCGGAAUUACUGGGCGUAAAGAGCUCGUAGGCGGUUUGUCGCGUCGUCUGUGAAAUCCCGCAGCUCAACUGCGGGCUUGCAGGCGAUACGGGCAGACUCGAGUACUGCAGGGGAGACUGGAAUUCCUGGUGUAGCGGUGAAAUGCGCAGAUAUCAGGAGGAACACCGGUGGCGAAGGCGGGUCUCUGGGCAGUAACUGACGCUGAGGAGCGAAAGCGUGGGUAGCGAACAGGAUUAGAUACCCUGGUAGUCCACGCCGUAAACGGUGGGCGCUAGGUGUGGGUUUCCUUCCACGGGAUCCGUGCCGUAGCCAACGCAUUAAGCGCCCCGCCUGGGGAGUACGGCCGCAAGGCUAAAACUCAAAGG